GAUGAAGAACGCAGCGAAAUGCGAUACUUGGUGUGAAUUGCAGAAUCCCGUGAACCAUCGAGUCUUUGAACGCAAGUUGCGCCCGAAGCCAUUAGGCCGAGGGCACGCCUGCCUGGGCGUCACACGUCGUUGCCCCCCCAUCUACUCCUUCGGGAUUGCGGGGGGCGGAUGAUGGCCUCCCGUGCGCCUCGCCGCGCGGUUGGCAUAAAUGCCAAGUCCUCGGCGACGCACGCCACGACAAUCGGUGGUUGCGAAACCUCGGUUGCCCGUCGGGUGCGGUCGUCGCGCAUCGAGGGCUCGAAAAAAUUGCCGGGUUCCGGCUCGGCUUUCAACGCGACCCCAGGUCAGGCGGGGUUACCCGCUGAAUUUAAGCAUAUCAAUAAGCGGAGGA
rnacentral:misc_RNA from 1 species